UUACACACUGUAAAAAGGAAAGUAAAACUUACACUGCUUAUACAGAGAAUCUUCGUAGCUGAGAGAAGAUAUUGUAAGAAAGUUUGAAAAUGGCCUUGGAGUGUUGAUGCCAAUAUGAGGUGUCAACGGGUUCGCCCGUUAUAGCGAUACAGUAUUAACAUUUUGUUAAAUGGCGUACUGGAAUUAAAGACGCACAUUUUAUCGUUAAUACUCAUUUCUUCAAUCUCUGAAUGAAUGAGUUUUUUUAUGAACGAUAUUUUUGUGAUUUCUUCAUUUUUAUCAGUGCCUAUUAUCAAAAUGGUGUACUGAUAGAGGUUACUUUAGUAAUAAAGUAACAAACAAAGGUGGUACCACGAAAUCAAAGCUUUCGUCCUUUAC
rnacentral:ncRNA from 1 species